UGGGGAAUAUUGCACAAUGGGCGCAAGCCUGAUGCAGCCAUGCCGCGUGUGUGAAGAAGGCCUUCGGGUUGUAAAGCACUUUCAGCGAGGAGGAAGGGUAGUGUGUUAAUAGCACAUUGCAUUGACGUUACUCGCAGAAGAAGCACCGGCUAACUCCGUGCCAGCAGCCGCGGUAAUACGGAGGGUGCAAGCGUUAAUCGGAAUUACUGGGCGUAAAGCGCACGCAGGCGGUUUGUUAAGUCAGAUGUGAAAUCCCCGCGCUUAACGUGGGAACUGCAUUUGAAACUGGCAAGCUAGAGUCUUGUAGAGGGGGGUAGAAUUCCAGGUGUAGCGGUGAAAUGCGUAGAGAUCUGGAGGAAUACCGGUGGCGAAGGCGGCCCCCCUGGACAAAGACUGACGCUCAGGUGCGAAAGCGUGG
rnacentral:rRNA from 1 species